rnacentral:rRNA from 1 species
UACGUAGGGGGCAAGCGUUGUCCGGAUUUACUGGGUGUAAAAGGAGCGUAGACGGCGAUGCAAGUCUGAAGUGAAAGCCCGGGGCUCAACCCCGGGACUGCUUUGGAAACUGUAUGGCUGGAGUGCUGGAGAGGCAAGCGGAAUUCCUAGUGUAGCGGUGAAAUGCGUAGAUAUUAGGAAGAACACCAGUGGCGAAGGCGGCUUGCUGGACAGUAACUGACGUUGAGGCUCGAAAGCGUGGGGAGCAAACAGG